AGAUCGGUUGUCUUGCGAAAGGGACUUUGUUAAUUAGUAAGAAACAACAUUGAAGGUGAAUUACUAAAAAUAGUACACAAAUUCCAUAUACCUGGACCCUCUUUGGGGAGUAUAUUAACAUUGGUGUCUUCACCAAGAGCAUGUCGGAGGCCAUUUGUCGCAUCCAUCUGUCGAUGUCGGUCUUCCUGCUGUUUCUUCUUCUGAUAAGAUUCUUGUCUCUUUGUGUUCAACUUAUCCUUUUGUUCUUGGUACCCUUGCUCUUCUUUUUUCUUCUUAUAAGUUGCUCUUCUCCAUGCGUUGAUGACAUUCCUUUCUUCCUUUGAUAAGGUCCCUUUACGUUGGCUAGCACGGCCCCUCGUAGCUCCAUCUGUUGUUGUAGGUAUACACAAGUUAGCAUCUGAUUUUGAACAGUAAUAGUAUUUAUGGAUAAAAUCGUGCACCAUCAGGGUUGCCAUAUAUUAAUUAUAUACCAAACCAGAUGAUUCGCAACAAUCCUGUAUGAUGGAUUAAAUUUACCGCUUCAUUAUAUUUAUAAAUUGGAAGGAAGUGUGAGUUCGGAAGCUAUACCUGGACUACCUUUGUGGUUUUCUACGGUUGACGGAGAGGGGAUUGGUGCUUCAUGUAUAAUCAGGCUGCUCGAUGGUCGUGGGUCAGAUGCAACGGCUUGCGAAAGGGAUUGUUCAAAUUAGUAAUCACCAAUAUCGAAGGCAUUUAAAUAUUGCUGAUGAGUUAUACCUGGACUCCCUUUCGGAAGUUCUAUGGUCGAGGGAGACAGGGCAUCUGCUUCACGAAUAAACAAGCCACUCGAUGGUUGUGGGCCAGCUCCAAUGGCUUGCGAAAGUGAUUGUUUAGGUUAAUAAUUUAACAAUCACCAAAUACCAAUCAAUUAUCAAUUAAAUAUACCUGGACCCUCUUUGGGGAGUCUAUCAUAAUUGGUGAUAUCACCAAGAGGUUGUCGGAGCCUAUUUGUCGCCUCCAUUUGUCGAUGUCGGUGUUGCUUAGCAAGAUUCACCCAUUCCCAACGAGAACCAAACGGGCUCAAGUCGUUUGAGGACAUCACUGUCAUAGACAGUUAUCAUUGGCAAAGAAGACCAAUAAGUACCGUAUACUAUAUUUAACACACUUUAAUCUACAUUGAACAGAAGUAAAGUAAGUUCUUGGCAUGUUUGGUACAAUAACGCUUCUCUUCAGUUUUUGUGCCCAAUAACCAACAUUGUCAUGUAAUGCAUUUCUUGCUACAGGUUCCGUAAAAUGGCAGCGGGUAGAGUUCUUGUCCUGCACAAAGGAAGGUAACUAACCUUCUUGUAUUAUCUUUAUAUUUGCAUGAUUUUGGUGGAAGCAACAGAACAAUUUGAAAUGCAUUGAGUUGUGCAAUGGAUUAACUACUUUGGUUCAAGUUUUCUUCUUCCUAGGCUAGUCGAGAUUAAGAAAAGCAAAAAAAUAUGAGAGUAGAUGAAACCACACAGAAAAGCAUAGAGUCAGGGGACAACAUGAAAAUGUUGCUUUGGCCUGGCAGCAUCAUCUCGUCCUCCAUUUGUAGUAUUUUUUUCUCGGACACAAAUCUUAUUUCUCAUACGCCACUGACAAGACAAACUUGCUUGGAGUUUUGGCUCCAGGGAGCAUAUACUCCCUGGUGAACAGUAAAGAGAAAACAAAAUCCUAAAGAUGGAUCUUGUUUUGUAAACACAAUAAAUUUUCAAAAUCCUGAAGCUUUUCUGUAGACCUUCAUGUUAGUGUAACAAGCAUGCUUGCCAAUUAUCUCGGUCUACUCCUUGCUCUUGCUUUGGUGUCAUCACUCUACUACUCUCCAUACAGUUUCACCCUGACAUGAAAAGCUAGUUCUUAUUAUCCAUGUCAUUUAUUUUUGUAUGCAUUGGUAACGCUCAUAUGUAUAUAUGUGCUAAUCAAAUAUUUGGAUUUUGAACCACCAGACCAUUCAAAUAAAUGUAUGGACUCUCACCUAAAUAUAAAUAAAUGGCAGGGAUAGUUCCACCAGUACAUGCUUGAGGAACACUAUGUUUGACCACCAAGAUAGGUUUGUGCCAAGUACUGAUUUGUGACAAGUAUAUAUACAAACUGAAGAUAGUUCCAUCAGUAUAUAUAGAAACUAAAGAUAGCCAACUAAGUGCAUAUAAGUGCAUACUGGAUUCCAUAUCAAUUAUGUACCACAGUUAUUUUAACAAGCUCUUGAUAAUAAUAAAAAAGGAACACUAUGGAGCUAAUCUGAAAUCGCACAAUCAUAUUUGUGCUGCAUUUAUUCUGAUAGCGUUGCUUGUUGAAUAGAAAUCAUGUAUAUAUCAAAUUAUCCUCCUUAGCCAUGUUCUUGGUACAGGUUACUUUGGUAGAACGUCAGAAAAAUUAUAGCCGGGGUUAGGAUACCUCUCGAGAAGCAGUAAGUUUUCGAAAGGGUUGAAUGUAUACAUAUGUCAUGCCUUGCUAUGCAUUGGUUGUAUACUUAAAGCAGUUUAAUCUAAUACUUUGAAUAGGUAUAUGCCUCGCUAGCACACAAGAACAGUCAGGACCAUGUAUGAAUCGGACGAACAGUUGGGGCUAUGUCACACCACCAAUCGAACAGUUGUAUAGUUAGCCCAGUCUCUUCCCGCAUUAGUUUAACCAGAAGCGAACUGUGUACAGGUUACUAACAUGUGUCUCGCUCACAGACGCGCCGGCACCCGUGGAUCGCUGGAAGCCUCACCGACACCCAUGUCUUGCUGGCAGCCGUGGCGGCACCAGGGGCAAAGUUUGAAGAAACAGGCCUCGCACACCUGAUCGGACGGCAAACUUUGAAGAAAGAUAGGAUUUGAAAAUUAUUUGUUGUAUAUAGAAAGAGCAAAAAUAUUAGAUUAAACUGUUGUUUAUGGAAGCUUCUUGUGACGGAAUUUUCUGAUAUGAUUCCAUAUGAUUUGAUUUAAUUGGUGUCGUAAAUUGAAGGGAAGGAUGGAAGGUUUGUUGUUUUAUAUGGAAGGGGAUGGAACGUUUGGCUUGGUUCU
rnacentral:lncRNA from 1 species